GACAGAGGGUGCAAACGUUGUUCGGAAUUACUGGGCGUAAAGCGUGUGUAGGCGGCUUCGCAAGUCGGAUGUGAAAGCCCCGGGCUCAACCCGGGAAGUGCACUCGAUACUGCGGAGCUUGAGUGUGGGAGAGGUUGGUGGAAUUCUCGGUGUAGAGGUGAAAUGCGUAGAUAUCUGGAGGAACACCGGUGGCGAAGGCGGCAUCCUGGACCGGCAUUGACGCUGAGGCGCGAAAGCCAGGGGAGCAAACGGG
rnacentral:rRNA from 1 species